rnacentral:rRNA from 1 species
UAUUGGUCAAUGGCCGGAAGGCUGAACCAGCCAUGCCGCGUGAAGGUCAGUGCCCUAUGGGCGUUAAACUUCUUUUGUGCGGGAGCAAUAAGGUCCACGUGUGGGCCGACGAGAGUACCGUACGAAUAAGCAUCGGCUAACUCCGUGCCAGCAGCCGCGGUAAUACGGGGGAUGCAAGCGUUAUCCGGAUUUAUUGGGUUUAAAGGGUGCGUAGGCGGGCUGUUAAGUCAGCGGUCAAAUGUCGGGGCUCAACCCCGGCCUGCCGUUGAAACUGGCGGCCUCGAGUGGGCGAGAAGUAUGCGGAAUGCGUGGUGUAGCGGUGAAAUGCAUAGAUAUCACGCAGAACUCCGAUUGCGAAGGCAGCAUACCGGCGCCCUACUGACGCUGAGGCACGAAAGCGUGGGUAUCGAACAGG